rnacentral:rRNA from 1 species
GGCGAGGCCGAAAGGCGUAGUCGAUGGGAAACGGGUUAAUAUUCCCGUACUUGGUGUUACUGCGAAGGGGGGACGGAGAAGGCUAUGUUGGCCGGGCGACGGUUGUCCCGGUUUAAGCGUGUAGGUGUGUGUUCCAGGUAAAUCCGGUUCACUUUAACACUGAGGCGUGACGACGAGGCACUACGGUGCUGAAGCAACAAAUGCCCUGCUUCCAGGAAAAGCCUCUAAGCAUCAGGUAACAUCAAAUCGUACCCCAAACCGACACAGGUGGUCAGGUAGAGAAUACCAAGGCGCUUGAGAGAACUCGGGUGAAGGAACUAGGCAAAAUGGUGCCGUAACUUCGGGAGAAGGCACGCUGACACGUAGGUGAAGUGAUUUACUCAUGGAGCUGAAGUCAGUCGAAGAUACCAGCUGGCUGCAACUGUUUAUUAAAAACACAGCACUGUGCAAACACGAAAGUGGACGUAUACGGUGUGACGCCUGCCCGGUGCCGGAAGGUUAAUUGAUGGGGUCAGCGCAAGCGAAGCUCCUGAUCGAAGCCCCGGUAAACGGCGGCCGUAACUAUAACGGUCCUAAGGUAGCGAAAUUCCUUGUCGGGUAAGUUCCGACCUGCACGAAUGGCGUAAUGAUGGCCAGGCUGUCUCCACCCGAGACUCAGUGAAAUUGAACUCGCUGUGAAGAUGCAGUGUACCCGCGGCAAGACGGAAAGACCCCGUGAACCUUUACUAUAGCUUGACACUGAACAUUGAGCCUUGAUGUGUAGGAUAGGUGGGAGGCUUUGAAGUGUGGACGCCAGUCUGCAUGGAGCCGACCUUGAAAUACCACCCUUUAAUGUUUGAUGUUCUAACGUGGACCCGUUACCCGGGUUGCGGACAGUGUCUGGUGGGUAGUUUGACUGGGGCGGUCUCCUCCUAAAGAGUAACGGAGGAGCACGAAGGUUGGCUAAUCCUGGUCGGACAUCAGGAGGUUAGUGCAAUGGCAUAAGCCAGCUUGACUGCGAGCGUGACGGCGCGAGCAGGUGCGAAAGCAGGUCAUAGUGAUCCGGUGGUUCUGAAUGGAAGGGCCAUCGCUCAACGGAUAAAAGGUACUCCGGGGAUAACAGGCUGAUACCGCCCAAGAGUUCAUAUCGACGGCGGUGUUUGGCACCUCGAUGUCGGCUCAUCACAUCCUGGGGCUGAAGUAGGUCCCAAGGGUAUGGCUGUUCGCCAUUUAAAGUGGUACGCGAGCUGGGUUUAGAACGUCGUGAGACAGUUCGGUCCCUAUCUGCCGUGGGCGCUGGAGAACUGAGGGGGGCUGCUCCUAGUACGAGAGGACCGGAGUGGACGCAUCACUGGUGUUCGGGUUGUCAUGCCAAUGGCACUGCCCGGUAGCUAAAUGCGGAAGAGAUAAGUGCUGAAAGCAUCUAAGCACGAAACUUGCCCCGAGAUGAGUUCUCCCUGAGACUUUA